CUAUUAGAAAACAAGAGAAUAUUCUUGUUUAUUAGCAAAGCAGUUACCAUUUAAUUGGUAUCAAAUUCUGAUUUCAAAAAAACACUC